CCUACGGGAGGCAGCAGUGAGGAAUAUUGGUCAAUGGGCGGGAGCCUGAACCAGCCAAGUCGCGUGAGGGAAGACGGUCCUACGGAUUGUAAACCUCUUUUGCCGGGGAGCAACGGGGUCCUUGCGAGGGCCCGAUGAGAGUACCCGGAGAAUAAGCAUCGGCUAACUCCGUGCCAGCAGCCGCGGUAAUACGGAGGAUGCGAGCGUUAUCCGGAUUUAUUGGGUUUAACGGGUGCGGAGGCGGAUUUUUAAGUCAGCGGUAAAAUGUCCGGGCUCAACCCGGGCCGGCCGUUGAAACUGGGGAUCUGGAGUGGGCGAGAAGUAUGCGGAAUGCGUGGUGUAGCGGUGAAAUGCAUAGAUAUCACGCAGAACUCCGAUUGCGAAGGCAGCAUACCGGCGCCCGACUGACGCUGAGGCACGAAAGCGUGGGGAUCGAACAGGAUUAGAUACCCCAGUAGUC
rnacentral:rRNA from 1 species